rfam:Schistosoma mattheei strain Denwood, Zambia genome assembly, scaffold: SMTD_scaffold0011073
GCACUGCUGAGGAGUCCCGUAUUGAGACGAAACGGCCGUCCAGUGC